CCUACGGGAGGCAGCAGUGGGGAAUAUUGGACAAUGGGGGCAACCCUGAUCCAGCCAUGCCGCGUGUGUGAAGAAGGCCCUCGGGUUGUAAAGCACUUUCAGUGAGGAAGAACGCCUGGUGGUUAAUACCCAUCAGGAAAGACAUCACUCACAGAAGAAGCACCGGCUAACUCCGUGCCAGCAGCCGCGGUAAUACGGAGGGUGCGAGCGUUAAUCGGAAUUACUGGGCGUAAAGCGCGCGUAGGUGGCUUGAUAAGCCGGUUGCGAAAGCCCCGGGCUCAACCUGGGAACGGCAUCCGGAACUGUCAAGCUAGAGUGCAGGAGAGGAAGGUAGAAUUCCCGGUGUAGCGGUGAAAUGCGUAGAGAUCGGGAGGAAUACCAGUGGCGAAGGCGGCCUUCUGGACUGACACUGACACUGAGGUGCGAAAGCGUGGGUAGCAAACAGGAUUAGAUACCCCUGUAGUC
rnacentral:rRNA from 1 species